GGCAGCAAAGCGGCAACAGAAACAGGUGUAGCCGCAUAGUACAGUCCACGCACGCUAUAGUAGAGCGAAGCGCACAGCGGCGCGAGUGUGUUAAGGACUUUCCAGAUUGAAUGCGUUGCGACUGUGUUGUGUCUGUUCCGUGUGAUGUGGUGGCGCUACAUGUCCGCAACAUAACUACUGUGGAGUUCACGAUCUACCAACGUCCAAUACUUCGAUGCCUAAAGCUAUGGAUGUCAUUAUGGAGGUUAUUUUCUCAGCUCCAAAACUCCAAAAUGUGCUCGACGAAAUCUCUCUCAGCCAUACGUGAGUUGCGUUUGUCCGAGAGAGACAGAAAAAUGGGCGCCCGAGUUUCGGAAUACGCCUGUUAUUUGCACAGUACAAUGUGCAUUAUCAACAAGCCUUUGUAGGGAGCCAAGAGAAUCACAUGGUCGGUCUGAAUAUGGGAUUAAAAAGUUCCAAAAUUCUGAUACAUGGAUAGCAGUUGGCCACAAUAUACGAUACACACCUGACUGGUGCAAAUAGUAAUCGGAAACAUCCAUGUUGUUCGUGAGCAAGUUCAACUCUUCAUGGAUGCAAAUAAUUGGAUUUUGUGAUGGUGCCGGUUUACUUUUAAUCUCUG